UUAUCAUGUCACAGGGAAGCAUGAAUGGACCUGUGGCAAAUGUGACCAUGGACCACUUGAUGAGGCGACCCGUGAUAAAGAGCUCAUGGUACCAGGCUCUGCACCACAUGAGGCUCUUCAACGAGUCAUGUUCAACAGACGCUGGUUGAAGGAUGUCGCAAAGUAUCUGACCUUUCGGUCAACUUCGGAACUUAAGAGUUUCCAGAAUUACAUUCUCAUGUAUGCUGGAAAAAGGUUUGCCUUAUCUCCUCCUGUCUAUGAAGCAAGGUGCCUUCUCGCUGCAUUGGACUACAACCACCACAACCAUCGACCAGAUUACAUCGGCCGGAAUAACGAGAAAUCGUUGCAAAGGACUAUGGCUACAUCCCAGAGCUGCAGCGUUGCAUCCUGAGGUGGUGUCUAGAUGGAGGGGCGCUCCCAAGAAAAGCUAAACACCGGCCAGGUGACCCAAGGCAUCUUGGAAAUCUUGCAGGAGUUGUGCCCCCAACGGCAGAACUAGUCCAGACACAAAUUCGCAGAGGACAGGCCUCAGCUACAUGAAGCAAGAAAAGAGAGAAGACAAGACCUGCUUAUUUUCCAAACAUUUUUAUUAGGAACAUGUAAAAGACAAAAAACAAAAUAAAACUAUGUACAUAAUGCAAAUUUGAAAAAUACUCC